CCCUUAGAUGUCCUGGGCCGCACGCGCGCUACACUGAUGCAUUCAACGAGUGACCUUAGCCGAGAGGCCUGGGCAAUCUUUUGAACGUGCAUCGUGAUAGGGAUAGAUUAUUGCAAUUAUUAAUCUUGAACGAGGAAUUCCUAGUAAACGCAGAUCAUCAUUCUGCAUUGAUUACGUCCCUGCCCUUUGUACACACCGCCCGUCGCACCUACCGAUUGAGUGGCCCGGUGAGGCUUUGGGAUCUGAGCGGAAAGAGCGUUUCGCUGUUUCUGCUCGGAAAACUCAGUCGAACCUUAUCAUUUAGAGGAAGGAGAAGUCGUAACA
rnacentral:rRNA from 1 species